rnacentral:rRNA from 1 species
UACGUAGGGGGGCUAGCGUUGUCCGGAAUCAUUGGGCGUAAAGCGCGUGUAGGCGGUCCGGUAAGUCCGCUGUGAAAGUCGGGGGGCUCAACCCUCGGAUGCCGGUGGAUACUGUCGGGCUUGAGUACGGAAGAGGCGAGUGGAAUUCCUGGUGUAGCGGUGAAAUGCGCAGAUAUCAGGAGGAACACCAAUUGCGAAGGCAGCUCGCUGGGACGUUACUGACGCUGAGACGCGAAAGCGUGGGGGAGCAAACAGG